rnacentral:rRNA from 1 species
CAGUCGCCACGGUAAUACAGAGGGUGCAAGCGUUAUUCGGAAUUACUGGGCGUAAAGCGCGCGUAGGUGGUUCGCCAAGUUGGAUGUGAAAUCCCCGGGCUCAACCUGGGAACUGCAUCCAAAACUGGCGAGCUAGAGUAUGGUAGAGGGUGGUGGAAUUUCCUGUGUAGCGGUGAAAUGCGUAGAUAUAGGAAGGAACAUCAGUGGCGAAGGCGACCACCUGGACUGAUACUGACACUGAGGUGCGAAAGCGUGGGGAGCAAACAGGAUUAGAUACCCCCGUAGUCCCUGUCUCUUAUAA